rnacentral:tRNA from 1 species
GAGGCUAUGGCUCAGUGGUAGAGUGUGUGCUUAGCAUACAUGAGGUCCUGGGUUCAAUACCUAGUACCUCCA